AACGAACGCUGGCGGCAUGCCUAACACAUGCAAGUCGAACGAAACCUUCGGGUCUAGUGGCGCAGGUCUGCGUAACGCGUGGGAACCUGCCCUUAGGUUCGGAAUCACUCCCCGAAAGGGGUGCUAAUACCGCAUGAGGUCUUCCGGCCAAAGAUUUAUCGCCGUUGGAUGGGGCCGCGUUGGAUUAGGUAGUUGGUAGGGUAAUAGCAUACCAAGGCGACGAUCCAUAGCUGGUCUGAGAGGAUGCUCAGCCAGACUGGGACUGAGACACGGCCCACACUCGUACGGGAGGCAGCAGUGGGGAAUAUAGGACAAUGGGCGCAAGCGUGAUCCAGCAAUGCCGCGUGAGAGAUGAAGGGCUUAGGGUUGUAAAGCUCUUUUAGCCGGGAUGAUAAUGACAGUAACGGGAGAAUAAGCUCCGGCUAACUCCGUG
rnacentral:rRNA from 1 species